rnacentral:lncRNA from 1 species
AUCAUAGGUGUUUUAUCACGGUGAUGGAAAACUGAUGAAGUCACAUUGUCUGGUAAUCAGAUCUGAAGCAAUAAUGUACUACACGCAGCAGAUUUGGCAGGCGCAGUGGUUUCAAUGAGAUAUCCUCCAUAUGCCCAAGCAUCUGAAUACUUGGUCUCCCGUCGGUGGCCCUGUUUGGUAGGUUAAGGAGCUGGAGGAAGUGACCUUGCUAUAGAAAAUGAGUCAUUGUGGGCGGCCUUUGAGGUUUCAAAAGGCUUGAGCCAUUCCCGGUUUGCUCUCUCUGCUUCCCGUUUGUACAUUGAGUUGUGAGUCCUUAGCUCUCAGCUCCAGCUCCAGUUGCCAAGCCUGCCUGCUGUCACACUUGCCUGCCGUGAUGGUGGCACACUCUUAUCCCUCUGGAGCUGUAAACCCAAAGAAGCCCUUCCUUCUCUAAGUGGCCUUGGUCAUGGUGUUUUAUCAGAGCAAUGGAAAAGCAACUGACAUAGGCUUUCUGAGAAACAUCUGGAAGGAGAGAGGACAGCAGGGCAAAGCAGGCUCAGCCAAGUCCUCAGAUUGCCUGGGCACCCUAUCCAGGACAGCCUUGAAGAGCUGACCCAAGCAUGCGUACUGCCACUAGAAGGAGCUGUAACCCUUGGACUACACCUUUCUUCAGCAGCAGCAGCUCCUGGAAAGAUCCCUGGACAGUCAACACACAGUUUGUGCCAUCUCCUUUAAAGAAACUUGAAAACGUUAUAUUCCUUCCUGCAGCAAGAUCAAGAACAUCCUCAGGAGAAGAAGUAUCACUCUCUGCUCCAGCACCAUGUCUCCCCGAAUGCCGCCAUGCUUCCCAUCAUCACGGUGAUGGACUGAACCUCUGAAACUAUGAUCUCAUCAUAAUGGAAAACAAGAAAGCUAACCGAGUUACCUGGGAAAUCUCUAAAACAUCGGGGGACUAAGCUGGAAGGAUUCCCACUGGCCGAGAACAAAUGAACAACAAAGAGACCAAUGAGUUGAAUUAUAUAAAAUAAGUUAAAAAUCCAUGGGUAAACUGACAGCAAUAAAACACCUGCAUUGAUCACACCAAGUCACUAUUCCAAAAACUGGUAAGUGGAAAGAAAAAGAGAACGUAUGUGGACUUUUCUACACGAAUCUCUGUGGGAGCAGUUGAUCAGUCACAGUCUGGAAGCUCCUGUCUAUAGACAAAAGUGCAGCUAACAGAUGCAGAAAUAAUUACUGUGUUAGGAUGUCACUAUGAGCACCCCUCAUAAAACCAUGGAUACCCAAUGACCAUGGACAGCCGUGAAGAAAAUCAGAUCAGUUAUGAGGGUGGGAAUCUGAGAAGAAAAUUUCCACUUAUGAACCUACA